AGGUCUUGAAGGCUGUCCUGUAAGCCCAUAAUGCGUCAUCGAGCUUUGCACACCAGUCUUUCCUUGUAAUCCCAACAGUUUUUUUCAGAAUUGUUUUUAUCUCCCUAUUGGAGAUCUCAACCUGCUCAUUCGUUUGUGGAUGAUAGGGAGUGACAACCUUGUGCUUUACUCCAUGCUUCUUCAAGAGAUUCUCAAAAACUUUGUUGAUGAAAUGCUUCCCACCAUCACUGAUUACUACCCUGGGAACUCCAAAUCUCGGGAAGAUUAUGAUCUUGAACAGCUUCAGCACAACUUUUGCAUCGUUGGUAGGACUAGCAAUAGCUUCGACCCACUUUGAUACGUAAUCUACGGUGACUACUAUAUACUUGUUGCCGUGUGAAGAUGGGAAUGGACCCAUAAAAUCAAUCCCCCAUACAUGAAAGAUCUCAACUUCCAAGAUUGGAUUCUGAGGCAUCUCAUUUCUUCUGCUGAUGUUGCCUUUUCUCUGGCAUGAAUCACACUUUGAAACAAACUCCUGAGCGUCCUUAAACAUUGUUGGCCACCAAAAGCCUGCUUGAAGAAUCUUGGACACUGUCUUGAACGUCGCGAAGUGACCACCAUAUGCUGAGCCAUGGCAAUGCAGCAUGAUACCUUCCACUUCAUCUUCUGAGACACAUCUCCUGUAGAUCUUAUCUUUACAGAGAGUGUAAAGAUAAGGCUCAUCCCAGUAGUAAUGGUGUAUGUCUCUGAAAAACUUGUCAGGUUGGGAGGCUCUACUCCGCAUGCCAUGUAAUUGACGUUAUCAGCAUACCAUGGAGAUUCUCCUUCACCAGCAUUCAGUUGGUGGAACUUUUUCCCACUGUAGCUCCUUCCGAAGAACUCUACAACCAUGAGCUGCUCUUCUGGCAUUGAAUCGUCUAUCGGAAAGGGUUCUUCAAUUCUCAUCCUUGACAGAUGGUCAACUGCACCAUUUUCAAUGCCUUUCUUAUCUACUAUCUCCAUGUCAAACUCUUGCAAUAAAAGUAUCCAUCUCAACAGUCUUGGUUUAGUAUCCUUCUUGGCAUACAGAUGCCUCAAAGCUGCAUGGUCUGUAUAGACAGUGACCUUUGAUCCAACCAAAUAGCUUCUGAACUUCUCAAAUGCGAAUACAACAAUUAGAAGCUCCUUCCCAGUUGUUGCAUAUCUUCCCUGAGCUUCAUCGAACGUUCGGCUGGCGUAAUAUAUGACAUGAAGCUUCUUGUCUAUUUUCUGGCCAAUUGAGAACAAGAUUCGUCUCUUCGCAUCUGGUCAAUACCCUGCUAAGAUUCAACAAACAUGAGGAGAAAGAGGGGCCAUAGACCGAAAAAUCGUCCAUGAAAACCUCCACCAUCUCCUCGAUUAAAUCUGAAAAUAUAGAGGUCAUACACCUCUGAAAUGUUGCAGGAGCAUUGCAUAAACCAAAUGACAUUCUCUUAUAAACAAAAGUUCCAUAAGGACAUAGGAAAGUAGUUUUUUCUUGAUCAUUAGAGUGAAUUGGUAUUUGAAAGAAACCACUAUAUCCAUCAAGAAAGCAAUAAUAUGGAUAAUUAGCUAAACGUUCAAGCAUUUGGUCAAUGAAUGGUAAAGAAAAAUGAUCUUUCCUAGAUGUAGCAUUUAACUUCCUAUAAUCAAUGCACAUUCUAUGACCAGUUAUAGUUCUAGUAGGGAUUAGUUCAUCCUUUUCAUUUUUGACAACAGUCAUUCCACUCUUUUUAUGGACGCAAUGCACUGGAGAAACCCAAGUAAUAAGGUAGAUGACACCAGCAUCAAGCAGUUUCAAAAUUUUGUUUUUCACUACUUCUUUCAAAUUGGGAUUUAACCUCCUCUAUGGUUCAAUGCUAAAAUAGGAUUUGUUUUCAAGAUGGAUCCUAUGGUUGCAUAAACUAGGUGAAAUUCCCUUAAUGUCGGAUAAUGAAUAACCAAUUACUCUCCUAUACUUUCUAAGCUCAGAUAAUAGCAGGUUCACUUCAUCAUCAUUUAACUCGGCAUUAAUGAUUACAGGGUAAGUAGAGUUUGGACCCAGGAAUGCGUACCUUAGACCUUUAGGAAGUGGUUUGAGAUCAACCUUCGGCGCCUUGAGUUCAGACCAGUCAUCUGAAGUUGGAAUGAUCGGCUCCCCAGAUUCGUUGGCAGACAAGGUCGAGUGGCUGGUCGAGUGUGUCCUCGAGUGUGCAGGUUGAACUCGUAUUGACCCUUCUUCGCUCAUAACCAUUACCUCCGUUGCCGGUCCAUCCAAUUCCUCAAAGGGUUCUGAUUCUUCCAUCGCUUUAUGGGAGUCUAACAGCUUCUGGUAUCCCAAUGUUUCCAAAUGUAGAAACUCAUCUUUACCACUUUUGGUUAAAGCACUGUUAAGAUGAUCUUCUUCUGCCAGCUCUUCCAGUAACUUAUCGGCUAACUGUCAUCAGAGUCAGAUGUGCCUCUGACGGUCCUAUCGCAGUCCUCGUUGUAAUUACCAUCUGAUUGAGCAAGGUUCUCAACCAAUUCCCAGCCUUCUUCAACAUCUUUGUUCUGGAAAUUUCCAUUGCUGGCGGUAUCCAGAAGCAUUCUGAUGCGUGGUAGGACUCCUCUGUAAAGAGUGCUGAGCAGAGAGGCUUUAGUAAAGCCAUGAUGAGGGCAUUUGUUGGUGUAACCCUUGAAACGCUCCCAUGCUUCACAGAAGCUUUCACCAGCCUUCUGUAUAAAGCCAGAGAUCUCAUUUCUGAGUCUUGCAGUUCUGGCAUUGGAGAAGAACUUUGGUAGGAAAGCCUUCUUGCAAUCAUCUAAGGUGGUGAUUGAGUCAUGGGGCAGAUUCUUCUCCCAGAUGUGUGCUUUGUCGCCCAAGGAGAAUGGAAACAAACAGAGCUUGAAUUCGUCUUCACUGACACCAUUGAUCUUUGUUAGGUUGCAGAGCCUUUCGAAUUCAUCAAGGUGGUCGAGUGGAUCCUCCAUUGGCAGACCAUAGAAUUUGUUCCCCUGAAUCAUCGAGAUGAGACCACUCUUAAUCUCGAAGUUGUUGUUCUGGAUAGCAGGAGGUGCAAUUCCUUUCCUCUGAUGGUGAUCACGUGGUGCAUCUCCAACACCAACGUUGGCAGGGCCAUUUUGUUGAUUUUAUUCGUCAGCCAUUUCGAGUGGUUGCUGAGGUAGAAGGUUGACUGUGUUUCUCCUUUCUGUGAGUUCGGGAGCUAUGCGGUUGAUGUUGUCGUUGAAAAGGAGGUUUUGAUUGCCUGUUAGC
rnacentral:sRNA from 1 species